CACGGGGGGAGCAAGCGUUGUUCGGAAUCACUGGGCGUAAAGGGCGUGUAGGCGGUCAAGUAAGUGGAAUGUGAAAUGCCUCGGCUUACCCGGGGACCUGCAUCCCAAACUGCUUGGCUUGAGUAUGGGAGAGGAUGAGGGAAUUCCUGGUGUAGCGGUGAAAUGCGUAGAUAUCUGGAAGAACACCGAUGGCGAAGGCGGCAUCCUGGACCAACACUGACGCUGAGGAGCGAAAGCCAGGGGAGCAAACGGG
rnacentral:rRNA from 1 species